rnacentral:lncRNA from 1 species
UAUUUCCAAUAUAUUAGGUCAUAUGAAUAAAACCGAGUACUUGCUCAUGCUCAACCCGAUUCGAGCAAAGUAAAGUCUCUGAGCAUUUACUAGAAACCGUAUGAAUAAAACGAUACUUUGCUCAGAGUAAGUUCGAAUUUCGAACUUAGCUUUUACUCUGUCAAAAAAUGUUGUUUAUGUUUUGGCUAGCUGAUUUUUGCGAGGGAGCAAAAUCCAAGUGGUGCAAAAAGUAUGGGUUUUGCAGAUCUCAACUGCAUUUUGCCGAUUGCUGGAACCUCACAAUACCCGGAAAAGCCCAACCAGGAGUAAUUUGAAAAACCCUGUGCUACCUGCAAGGACUAAAAACGGGCUGAUAAAGUUGCAGCCGAUCCGUCUACAACACCCAUACCGGUGAACAGAUAGCUAUGGAACCAGCGAAAUUCCUUCAAAAGUAUAAACGGAAAUGCAACAAACGACAACUUCGAUUAGAGUUGGAUUACGACAAGCAACAUCACCAGAAGCAGAAACAUAAGAAUAAAUCAAUUCCUUUCAGCAGAAUGGACCCACCGAAUACUCAACGAGAUGCCAUAAGGAAAAAUUGAUCAAACUGGCGAAAUCUAUCGCGGACAAUUCAGCUGCCAUGAGUUGGUUCAACAUGCCACGGAUGACCGGAUCGGCAAUCAGCUGCAACUAACGCCAGUGCGAUGAGCAAACAGGUGCUCAAACGAAGAGACUAUUGGUGUGCAAAUACCAAGGCCAUCCCUUGCCGAUGAAAACAUAAAUAAACUAAGCUACGAAACUAAAAAUACGUUACAUUUA